UCCGAUAUGGUCUAGUGGCUAGGAUUUGCCGCUCUCAUCAAGAGCAGAACGCUUUGGCGCCGGCAAGGCCCGGGUUCGAUUCCCGGUGUCGGAA
rnacentral:tRNA from 1 species